CCAAAAUGGGGCGGAGAGAGGGGAGGGAGCAGUGAGGGCGGAGUGAAAGGUCCGCUCUAGGCUCUCCUGAAGGUCUGGUGUGUCGCACCCACUUUACCAGCUGAAAAAGGGAGGCACCCAGAGGUUGAGGAACUGUGGCAAGUCUUGCGCCAGGAGGCGGGUUAGAACCAGGCGUGUGGCCAAAGCCACUGGACCUAAGGCCUGCUGGCUUUGUCUGGGGCGGUUCAAAGGGUGGAUUCCCAUAGUCUGGGCCCAGGAGCGGGCUCUCACAAUGUUUUCGCUAAAUGGCUGCGGUGGGGGAGUGACCGGAAGCCACCCAGACUCAGUCCUCCUGUGUUAGAGGCGCGCACUGUCCUGCAUCGAACACACGUGUGCGACAGGGAAACUGGCCCAGCUAGGGGACAAAAGCCCAAAGCCACCAUCAACGGGGGCGGGGGGCUCCUCCCCAGCACCCUUCCUCCCGGCGCUUCGCACACCUUCCCUACCGGCCCCCAGCCCAGCAGACUUCACUGGAGGCGAGCGGAGCGCGUUUUAUUGCCUUCCGUCCUGCUCCAUACUAAAUCUUGUGGCGAUGCUUCUAAAAGUCAAUAAAACGAGAAGGAACCUGCGAUAAAAUUAAGACUGGAGUCACAGCCCUAAGGGCAGCACUGACCCCGCUCACUGAUGAUCACUGAGCACUCACUGUGUUCCAGGAAUCCUUGGAAGCGCUCUGCGUUUACUUUCAUGUCAGCCCUCCCAUCCGUGUCGGGAGAUAGGCACCGCUAUCACAGCCCC